rnacentral:lncRNA from 1 species
GUUUGGAUGUUGCUGAGCAGGGCUUGCCCUCCCCAAGGACUUUACAGUGUCCCUUUGGACAAUCCAUGUCCCAUGCUCUGCCAGCAAGGACGUGACACCAUCAUUGUUCCCCUCCUCAUCCCUGUGUCCUACUUAGACAAGAAUCUUCCACCCACUCUGCUCCAGAGGGCCCUCAAGUGCCCACAGGGAGCCCCUUUCUUCCUCCUGUGGCACUGGAGAGCGCUGGGGUGAGGCAGGGCUGUGACGGCACAAAGGGGCUGAGCGCUGGUGAGAGGCAGGGCUGGGAUGUCACACGGCUGUCCUGGCCCACGGCACUGUGACAUCACCGCGCAGUCGCUACGUAACACAGGCCAGCACCUGCAGCUGCCAGUGCAGUCGCGAUGGGACGUGCCGGAGCCAUGUGUGACGGUGGCGUCCUGGUGAUUGUGCUUGUCCUGCUGCUGGCCACUGUGGCUGUCUGGUGGGCCGUUGGCCACUGGCAACCACGGAGGCGGCAGGCACGGACAUCAAAGAGGCGCAAGCGCCCCGGGGUGCAGCCCAGAGGCUCACGGAGGAAGCGAGGAGCCCCUGUGGCUCCCAGGUCCUCCAGGCCUCGGGCGACCCCUCGCAAGCGGCCACGUGCUCCCGCGAGCCCCCUGGACAGCCCCUGCAGCUGCGGCCCCUGCGUGGCAGUGGCCCAGGAGCUGCAGGAACUGAUGCUGCUGCUCUGGGCUCACAAUGGGACGUGGGUGCCGCUCUACUCUGGGAUGUGGCAGGCGUUGUGGAAAGAACUGGAGGAGCUGGUGAAGCAAGGCCACCUGCCCUGCUGUGGCUCGUCCAGCUCCUCCAGGAGCCUCCAUCCCUUCAAGAGGCUGCUCCCAGCAAGAUUCUCCAUCCCUGGGAGAGCCUCAACCCUUGCAAGGAUGGCACACCAUGAGGGACCCACCAUCCAGGCAAGAAGCUCAGGCUGUCAGAGAUCCUCCAUCCUGCCAGGAGCCUCCACUAUCUCUGACAGCCUCCAUCUCCCGCAGACGCUCAGUGAGACCUGUCAGCCUGCAGAAGGUGCAGAGCCUGUGCACAGGUCUCCCAGCUCCCUUGGACUCAGGGACUUCAACAAUACGGGCGCAACCCUGACAACUGAUGUGGCCAGGGAAAGACCAGAAGUCCAAGUGGGAGCCCAG